CAGCAAUGGGAUGCGAAUCUCGAAAGCCUGUCUCAGUUCGGAUUGGAGGCUGAAACCCGCCUCCAUGAAGUUGGAUUCGCUAGUAAUCGCGCAUCAGCCAUGGCGCGGUGAAUACGUUCCCGGGCCUUGUACACACCGCCCGUCAAGCCAUGGGAGCCGGGGGUGCCUGAAGUUCGUGACCGCAAGGAGCGACCUAGGGCAAAACUGGUGACUGGGGCUAAGUCGUAACAAGGUACC
rnacentral:rRNA from 1 species